GACGAACGCUGGCGGCGUGCUUAACACAUGCCAGUCGAACGGAAAGGCCCCUUUGGGGGUACUCGAGUGGCGAACGGGUGAGUAACACGUGAGUAACCUGCCCUUGACUUCGGGAUAACUUCAGGAAACUGGGGCUAAUACCGGAUAGGAAUCCUUGCUGCAUGGUGGGGGUUGGAAAGCUUCGGCGGUUUUGGAUGGACUCGCGGCUUAUCAGCUUGUUGGUGGGGUAGUGGCUUACCAAGGCUUUGACGGGUAGCCGGCCUGAGAGGGCGACCGGCCACAUUGGGACUGAGAUACGGCCCAGACUCCUACGGGAGGCAGCAGUGGGGAAUAUUGCACAAUGGGCGGAAGCCUGAUGCAGCAACGCCGCGUGCGGGAUGACGGCCUUCGGGUUGUAAACCGCUUUCAGCAGGGGCGAAGCUUUUGUGACGGUACCUGCAGAAGAAGCACCGGCUAACUACGUG
rnacentral:rRNA from 1 species